GGAAGUGAUAAAGAACAAAUGCCCAUCGGGUUCCUGAGCAAUGAAAUAACACAAGACACCAACACAUUUUUGGGUGCGGAAGUGAUAAAGAACAAAUGCCCAUCGGGUUCCUGAGCAAUGAAAUAACACAAGACACCAACACAUUUUUGAAUUCGGAAGUGGUAAAGGACAAAUGCCCAUCGGGUUCCUGAUCAAUGAAAUAACACAAGUCACCAACACAUUUUUGAAUUCGGAAGUGAUAAAGGACAAAUGCCCAUCGGGUUCCUGAUCAAUGAAAUAACGCAAGACACCAACACAUUUUUAUAAUUCGGAAGUGGUAAAGGACAAAUGUCCAUCGGGUUCCUGAUCAAUGAAAUGACACAAGACACCAACACAUUUUU
rnacentral:sRNA from 1 species